GAAGGAUGAUGCUGAAGCAUACUCUAACUUGAAUGAGACAAUGCGAUAUUAAUUCAUGAAAAAGAUUUUUUGAUUAUGCUUACGAAUUAAAAGGUUAGAAUUGAAGAACUAAAGGCACAGAUAAAGAAAUUAACCUAUGAGAUCGAAGAGAUAAAGAAAAAAAAUAUAAGAAGAAUGAAACUAUGAAGUAAAAAAAGAUGAAAAUUAGCCUCAACUUAUAUUUUUCGAUAAUUCAAUAUAUACACACCCAAUUGGAAGUAUUAUUCUUGUAAUUUAAGAGAUGAAGAUAUAAAAUCCUUUAGAGCUUUGUCAUCUCCUUUUAUAAAUAUACUUAAAGUAAUUUUAGAGAAUAAAGAAUCAAGAAAAGUGGUAUAGAAGACCUCUAUGUAGAUGAAGAAAUAAUGAUGAGAACAAAAUAGCUCGAGCAGUUUGUCCUCAU
rnacentral:lncRNA from 1 species